rnacentral:rRNA from 1 species
CCUACGGGAGGCAGCAGUGGGGAAUAUUGCACAAUGGGCGAAAGCCUGAUGCAGCAACGCCGCGUGAGUGAUGACGGUCUUCGGAUUGUAAAGCUCUGUCUUCAGGGACGAUAAUGACGGUACCUGAGGAGGAAGCCACGGCUAACUACGUGCCAGCAGCCGCGGUAAU